CGGGCCCAGCCGCUCCGCGGCACGUGGGAUCUUCCCGGACCGGGGCACGAACCCGCGUCCCCUGCAUCGGCAGGCCGACUCUCAACCACUGUGCCACCAGGGAGGCCCCGCUAUUUCUUGAUAAUCAAAUUCAGUUCAAAGAAUAUUUCUGAGCCUCCAUCACGUAGGAGGCACUGUGCUAGGACCUUGGUGGGGAUACAGGGGCACUUCGCAGUUACAGCUUAACUUGGAGACAGCCCUGAACAUUACUAAUGAAAUGCAGCACAGUGUGUGUUUCAGGUUGUAAUGGGGGCCGAGAAAGCAAAAAUUAGCUCAGACUGAGAAACUAUAAAUCUGCAUUGUCCUUCAUGAGGCACAGAUAAAGCCAGCUGCAGAGUUAACGGGAAACAGUAUUUCUCCCAUGGACAUGCUGCAGCCAUGAUGUGUCAUAGCAACUCUCUUCAAGUGACUGCUGCUUUUUUACUCACUGAGAAACUCUGUUUUCUAAAUAUCAUAGACUAUCAGAAAUUUUGCUAUUUGAAAUUAUAUAAGAUGAAAUAUCCCCCUUUUAUGUAAUUCACUUUGAUACAAAAGUUGCCUUGGCUUGCAAAUGAGGGACAGAGCUUCAAACAAGGGUUUGGGAGCACAGCACUGAACAUAUCAACUUUUGUUUCCAAGGAUACAGAACCCUAGGUCCAAUUUGUUGUUCAAACCUGAUGUUCAGGCCUUUACACAGCGCCCUGCCUUGCUCUGAGCCUAUCACAAUGUUGAUUUAUUUAAAUUUCACCCUUCCGCCCAAAUUGGUAAUUUCCGCAUUUCCUCCAUGUGCAGUACAUGUGCAGGUACUUUCAUAGCAAUGGAUAUUGUCAGACUAUUGACUUUGUCAGACUAUUGGUUUGCUUCUGGAAGCCUUAGGCUGAUUGGGCUAGGACAGAUGUCCACUUUGACAAUUCUCAAUUUAGCAUUAAAUCUAUGUGUAAUGUAUUUACAUAAUACAUAUGUUGCAUAUAUCCAUGUAUCCUGUUUUUUCACUUUUAACGGUGUUGUGUGUAGAUAAUUUUUCUUCCACAAAGUAAUAUCUCUUCCUGGAGGCUGGCGUCUGUGCUUAAAAUUCCAUCUGAUUUUUUUUUCUCAGUGUCUUGACCAGCAUUGUGCAUACAGUACAUGUUCGAUAAACACUUUCCACAAAGAAGCUUCACAUCUUAGCUAUUUCUUUGAGACUUUCUCCAAGUUUGAAACCUAACAGACUGUGGUAUCCUCUUCCUCACAAUUCUACCUCUGCUUAAUAAAGUGCAAGUUACCCAGGCAAUGAGGCGCGGUGCAGUUGAAGCUUUUUAUAGCUCCAUCUGUCUGCAGUCACCUAAAUGUCAGUGGAUAGAUGUAUUUGUCAUAAUGUGCAGUAAGUGCAAAUAAGCCCCCCGUUAGUAGUAUCACUAGAGAUAAAAUAGAUUGACAGGAACUCAGAGGUGAUAAACUGUCAGAUUGCACUCUAAGGAAAUACAGCAUGUCAUUGGUAGCUGAAAAUGUGCAGAAGUAAACGCACAAUUCCUCACUCCAACCUGAUUUGUUUUCAAACCUUUGCGUAUUUACUUUUGUUCAUCCACCACUUUGGUUGAAAUAAACCAUUAAUUAAAAACAGCUCAGGAAAACCACUGAUGACGUUAAUAGAUCUCAACACAGCAGCAGCAAAACAGUCUCAAUUCACCGAACUGCCUUCCAGGCGGGCCUUGCCCUUUCUGUAGAGGAUGGUGGAGAAGCAAAAGUCUCUGGUUCUCAGGGGCUGCUGGGGGAUCGGUGUCGCUGAUCAUCUUAUGCCUAAAGUAAUGCUUUUCCUUGAAACUUAGGUAUGCAGGGAUUCAUAAAACCAGCAGAAGUAGGAAGUAACAGAGAAUGCCUUUUGAGUAACCAGGAAGGAUUUGGUAAAAGCCCACACGCUGCAUAAUCCGUGCUCCUUCCUCAUGGUUGUGCCCCUUAGUUCAUGUUUGCCUGACACGCGGUCCUGAAAGCUCUCUGUUCCAGUGUUUGCUCCCUAAUGAAUGUCAGUAUAUUAGAUUCUGAGCUAGUGACAAGGGACUUACCUGUGUUCCUGUCCUCACAUUCCUCUGGAUGUACUAAAUGGUUUGAUUAAGCCUGAUCACUUCAGUGAUGAACACUGGAACGGUUUUAUUUUCCUCCACAGAACGCGCGUGAAGGAAGCUGGGGAGAGUCAGUCGCAAUGUCUGCUGUUAUGUUCCUCAGGAUCCGCUGUUUUGUGGUCUGGUUGUGUUAUUAAAAUUGCAGUCUCAAGUCAUUUCAAAACCCGUCCUUUACCUCAGCUCAGAUUGGCCAGGGCUGCCCCAGCAACUUGACGCUAAGACGUCCAUGCACCUUCCACGUUGCCAAAGCAGACAUCCAACUGGAGGAUACGAUGCAGACAUCUCCAAACAUCAGGAAACAUUCUCUUAGAGCCGGUCCCCCAGCCUGGGUGAGAGUCUGGGGACAAACUGAACACGUCCCUUUCUCUUUGCGAAGGAGAGAAAGAAGCCACGUUCUCAAGAAGAAAACUGAGGUGGUAACCUGCUCCCCGUCUCCAGCUGUCUUUAUCCCGUCUUUGUCCCCGCCAGGCUGACAACCAGUGCUUUACAGACCACUGUCUUCUGCGGCUCCUGAUGGAGUUUCCCAUAAUGCUGAACCAAAUGAUGCUGAGAUGCUGAACCAAACAUCUCCAGGAUGCUGUUCUUCCUGGCUGGCUCUCUCUCUACACUGAGUCCCGAGUCCUGCCGUCUCCAGUAUCACUCCAGCAGUGGGUUUUAUUUUCAGGACCACAUGUGUUGCCGGAGAUACUCUGACCUGUCUUGAGCUCAUCUUCUGAGAUUUGGCAGGAAGAAUCGACACACGUCAGCAAGGCCUGAAUGCACCGUGUCUCCUGUCCGGACAUAAUCACGUCCAGCAGCAGAAGAGACUUCUCUUCCUGGAUGAUCUUUUUUAAGAAAAUGGGCAAUCUCCUACACGCCUCCCAGAAGAGUUCUCCUUACGUCUCCACGAUCCUUCAUACUGCAUGCCUGGAUGCUAUAACCAGAUUUCACCAGUGAGGAGGUGUGGUUAGCCUGGGGUCUCCAUCUUCAACAGAGAUGCUCCAGAUAAACUCUUCUUUCGAGCAGAGUUUGGGCUACACCGCAGAUAUGUAAUAUUCCAAAGUAUGGAUAUUUUAACUAUUUCAUGUUCUUAAGAGUUCGGCAAAAUGAGGCAUGAGCCGGUACAGAUUUUCUACAGAAGCCUCAAAGCUGAAAACGACAUGACCCAAUCACUCCCACGGUCUGCAGAUCUGGCCAAGGAGUUGCCAGACCUAGGCAGGGCCUUCUCGGAGGUGGCCAGGUCAUCCUACGAUCCUCGCUCCCCGCUCCACACUUCUGUGCUCCCCAGUCGCUCCCACCCACUUCUCCUAAGACAAGAGAGAAGAGCCUUGAAGCUGUGAGGCUGCUCUGGGGCUUCCCAUAGAACAGAGCAUGGAGGGGAGUUCUUGGGAGAACUUGACACAAGACCUUGGGUGAGAGAAGGAAUUUUGAGCUUAUAGACUGGUACCUACUGCUUGCAGGGGAAAUCUGGAAGAUGGAGGUGAGUGGGGCCAGCCUGUGUUGUCAGGGCUAUGGGCUGCCUGCCUCUGCACCGCUUAGCCUGCCAAGGAUUGGUGAGUUUCCCGUGGACCAAGUGGAUGCUGUGGAACAGAGCAUCUGGUUGAAGAGGGUGGCUGGCCAGGCUGCAGGUCAGGCCUGAGCUGGGAGAAGGGGAGAGACUUUCCGCUGCAUGUGAGAUUAGAUUUUGAUUUAUAUGGAGUCGGACUUUCCAGUUCCUGAAAGGGUUUUCUCUUGCUGGCUGCCUCCAAGUUCCCAGGGUUUCACACAUUCUGCACCGGGCGGGCUCGCCAGGACAUCGAAGACCACUACCAACAGCUGCUACAAGUUUAAAAUCUUUAGAAGAAGGAACAGAUUGCAGUUUGCUCCUGAGGGUCACCACAGAGCACUGAACAGAGUUCCCUGUGCUAUACGGUGAGAUUGUGGAUUUGCUCUCGUGGUUCUCCGAAGGAGACCGUGGUGGUGCUGGGAUGCGGCUCCGGUGCCUUCUGCCUUGUUUACGCCCAGCUGUUAUUCUUGUUCCUGUCACUGCCAGUUACUGAAGAAUCCAUCAUGCCUGAGACUCACAAGGGGGCUUCUUUUCUGCUUCCUGAGGAGGAGUGGCAGGGGCAGUGGAGGUGAACAAAUUGGAUUGAUUACCAUCUGAAGACAGGGUUCGAGCUUCUGUCCUAAUCAUGCUGGCGGGACCGCCAGGCUGUCUGAUUCACUCAGACAAAAGCCCUGAGAAAACAGGGAGGGUUAGGAGCCCAUAUGCUCACCUGGUAGUCUAGCGGCCGCUCUGGAUUGAGCAGGACUUCAGAAAUAAGGAGAACAUUUUUACUGCUAAUAACCUCCCACAAAUGUCAUAACCAAGGCUCUGAAUGCAAGAGACAUGCCAAGAUCUAAUUCCACGCACUUAUGUGUGUGGCUUUCUGAUAUCGACUGAGGUAUUAAUUGCUGCGUGUGUUCCUUUUUGUACUCUCCUUCCUGCAGGUAACUGGCUCAGCACAUCAUUGAUUCGGGAGAGCUACGUGGUGGGGUAGAAGGUAGAAGUGGCCUGUUAGUCCCUCUGUCUCUGCUUUUUCAAAAGCUGAAUUGCUCAGGAGAACAAAUAGGGUUUGCUGAGGAGGUAGAAAGAAAGGAGAAGUGAUUUUAGAGAAUUGUUAGAGAAGCAAGAGAGAUCAAAAGACUCUCUCCACUGACCCCCACCCCACCCUGCCCUCUACUAGGCUGGGAGAUGAGGGAGAGAGAUAUCGGAAGCACUGAGAUAACUUACUCAUCAAUCCUAUUUUGUUCUAUGUAUUCAUGUAUUUAUCACUCCUGGGUGCCCACUUCUGGGUGUACACUUCCUUCUCUCCUUACUAGGACCAAAGCCUUUGGCUCAUCUCAUGAGCUCAUGUAUUGCCUGUUUCCUCUGUUUCUGGAAGACUGGUUUUAUGAAAUAUCUGGAAUUUCUCAUAUCACAAAGAAAAAGUGCAGAUUUUCCAGAAUGACCAGGGGGUCUGUACACAUAGCACUGAGCAUCGUUGGAGAGAUUAGAACUGAAGACAUUCUUCUAAGAUAAGAUGUUACUAUAAGGCGGAAUGCAUAACAACAGUGUACAAUGUUUCCUAGGAACUCCAGCAUUUCAAUUUUAUUAUACUUUUAUUGAAUAUUCAAUAAAAGAAUAUGACACCCUUUCAAAUCGUGUUCUUGUAACCUCCUGCUAUGAAGAUAAAUGAAGACAGAUCUGUGCUAUCAGCACAAGUGGCAUUCAACCGAUUCUAAAACUUAUAUUUUUCCUGUAUUGAGCAUAUUUUAAAUGCACAGCGUUAAAAUCCUUGUUUCCUAAUAGCUCAGUCCUUUCACUUGCAUAUCACAUUGCAUUCAACAGUUCAGCAUUUUUGUCUGAGAACAUUUUUGGACGCUAGUUGGUGCUAUUGUUGGCUAGUAAUGGUACUGUUUCCUUCAUUCAUUCCACAAAAAUUUAUUGAGUGCCUACUCAUUGCCAGGCAUUGCGUUAGGCUCUAGAGAGGACUAGGACAUACUGUCUUCGUUGUCAAUGAGUUUGCAGUCGACCAGGCAAGAUGAACUCAGCUGACUCUAUCUUAAUGAUCCUCUAAGCUCCGUAGCAAUGUGAGGCAGAGGGUGAUACGAUGGGCACCCAAUCCUGGCUGCAGGGGGCCGAGGAGAGGCAGGGCAGGGAGGGCUUCCACAAGCAGAGGAGUAAGGGUUACCCAGGGGAAGGGGAAACGGGGAAAGAGGCAGCAGCAUGUCCAAGGGUAGGUAUCCAUCAACUGGACAUGCCUAUUUGACUCAGGGACAAUUUCAGAUUUCAAAACACAAACCAGUAACUUCCGGCUGAGUAAUACAUGUAAUAGACAACCCUAUGCUGGUGCUCGCCUCACUCACAUUUAUAGUCCAGACUCCACCAGUUAAAUCAUGCUCCUUUACAUGGAGGAGUGAAAUUACUUUCCAAAAAAUUGCAAAUGUAUGUGCAAAAAUGCAACGUUUAACAUUUUUGCAUAGUGAUGACUCUGUCCCGUCUUCCUGGAAAAUUGCAGUACUUGCCCCCAGACCAGUGCCUCCAGGGGAAUCCAGCUUUCAGAGUCUGUACCUUCUUCUGCCCCUUCCACUGGGUGCCUUGUCAGGCUGCUGGACCUGGAAGUUAUCCUCCCUCUUGCCUCUGGUCCUCCACAAGCCUGAAGUAAGUCUUUGAUUUCAUGAAAGGAGAGAUCUUUCUUGGACUGUCCAGUUCUCCAAAGCAGGAACAUGUCAAUGGAGUCUUUUAAAAGCAAUAGAGGUGGCAGUAGGACCCAACAAGUUCACUGGACUUGGCCAUUAGGAGGCCAUUGAUGACCUUGGCUUGAGCAGAGAAGCCAGAUUGGGGUGGGUUGAGGAAUGAAUGAGAGCUGUGCAAAUGGAAAUCAUGAGUGGGGUCUUCUCAGUUAGGACUUGGCUUGACAAAGGCGAGUAGAAAGGGACUAGACGGUGGGUGCAGGGACAAGUUGAGAUACAGAGAAAACAGGUCUAGACAUUUCCCAUGCUACCUAUUGCCACUUUUCAUGCUCUUAAACCUGAAAGUCACUUAAAAAAGGUACUUGUACAUUUCAGUUUUUCCCCCAAAUAGCCAUUGUUUCCUAAACAGAAAAAGUUUAACAUCCUCUGCCUAUCACUGACAUCCAGAAAGAAAAUGCAGUUCAUUUUUUCCCUUUCAAAUCAUUAAGAACAAUUCAAUCACUUCGGGAAAAUUCUUGUCAUUGUCAGUGUGCCGAAACAAGCUGUGGUUCUGCCCAUGGGCACCGCGUUAAUACAUACAUUUAUUCUCUUUGCUCGCACAGAGACCCUGGGUUGCUUGUUUCCGUAAAGGCUGCCUGUCAUCUCUUAUGGGACCUUCAUGUGUCAGUGAUACCGGUUACCUCAUGUCACAGCCCAUCAGUCGGCUUAUCUCCAGAAGAAUGUGAAAUUGCCUAACAAGCCUGCAAAUGUGAAGGGCUCCACGGUGGCUUAAUCACACAUGAUGUUCCCCUGUCUCAUCAGUCCCUAUACUGAGGCUGCACCUCUCAUUUCUUAGACAAAUACAUUUCCUAGAGCUGUGGCUGGACUAUCCCAGUUGUGUGGGGUUUUAACCCCCAUUCCUCAAUUCCAGGGUGAAUUUCAUUCUGGAAGCCCUCCCGUGCCCUUCUCCCCACCUUAGAAUAUUUCAAUCAUCUCCUUCCCUAAAACUGAUCUGGGCAAUCUGGCAACCUGGCAAAAUUAUUUUAAGCCCAGGCUUUUAACUGUGUUUGGAGUGAGUGAUAGCCUUGGAAACUUACUUGGGGGUAAUGCACACAUCCAAGUAUAUAUGUCCAGCAACGUUUGCCCCUUUGGGAGGGUGUGUACUCCCUUGAUGCUUGCCCUCUUUGCAGAAUUCUCCUGCCAGGGUCUUCUAUAAUCCACUAGCUGUCAGCAGGGAUGGUUGUGAUCAAAACUGCCCCCUCCAAAAAAGGUGCACGUUCUGUGAAGUGAAAGACAUCAUGGUGGAUGCAAAGAUGAAUAAAACGAUGGCCCAGCCCUCAACAAGGCAGAGGGCCAUACAGUGUAUCAACGGUACAUGUAUUAUAUAAAGGACUAGGAAGCUGGGGACACAGUGUCAUGAAGGAGCCAAUAGUGUGAUUAUUUCUUAGUGUGAUUAUUUCUUAAAAGAAGGAGACGAACAUGCCCAGGAUAAGUCAGUGCUUUGUUCUGUGGUCCAGAGGUUUUGGGGGCAGCUGCUUCCUUAUAGAAUUUGUAUUAACAACAUUUAGAAAUUUUCUGUAUUCCUGAUGCUGUGGCAUUUGUGGCCUCGCUGGCUGGGGAAAGACUGCUGUUCCAAGGGGGCUAGUGAGUUCUUAGAGACAGCAAAACGCUCACCCCCAGGAGCAUCCCUUUCAUUUGCAAACUAACAAAUCCAGAACCUUUCCUCUGAACUACCUCCUCUCUCUGGCUCAGACACUCUAGGAGGCAGGAUUCCUCUGCCCUAAUCAGCCAGAAGUGGGUACUAGACAACUAGAGACCACCUCUGUACCCAGAGCCCACUGAUUAUUCAGACGAACCAGUCCUAAACUGGUUCCUGCGGAAAGCACAAUAAAUGCUCUGGGCCAUGAUUUCCAUUCACCCCUUUGGGCUCCUGACCAAACCUGGUGUUUUCCCAUGUGACCCUGCAUGGAGUAACAUGCCCCAUCCUCUCCGGAAGUGUAGUACUGAAACAAAAUGUCUACACUGAACUCCUUUCAAUGGCAUUAGCCUCUCUGUGUUGUCACUCAGUCACCUCUAUAAAUUAACAUCGUGCAGGUGCAUUUUGAGAUAGAAGUGGGCUCUGAGAUGGAGGGUAACCCCGUAAGAAGAAAAGAUCUUGGGUCUUGGGCCAUCUGCUUCCUAGGGCUUAUGGGGUGUGGGAGUGAGCCUUUCCCCUUGUCAUUAAAUUAUUUACAAAAACAUGAUUUAUAGCAGCGGCAUACUUACAUUUACAUAAUAAUUUAUUUAAUUAACCUCCUGAUUUAUGUAAAAGAAUGUUGUUUUUAUUUUUCCGCUCAUAAAUAUUUCUGUGAUAAGCAUACUUUUAGAUAAAGUGUGAACGUUCUUGUUUCUUUCCUUUAAGAAAUUUUAAAGGUAAAAUGACUGAACCCAAAGAGACAUUUUUGCUGAGGUGGGAUGAGCUGAAAAGAGAUGUGUACCCUGAAAUUUUCUGAAGAUGUGACUGUGGAAGCCAAUAUGAUAAUACAGAGUGACAUUCAUGUACUGCCAGCGGAUUUAGCUGUUUUCUCGCCAAAUGUUAUGUUUGUUAAGACUGAGCUAUCAUCAAAACAAAACAAAGGAGUCGUUCAGGAAGUUUGGACAAAUGUGUAAUGACGUGUAUCCAUCAUUAUAUCAUGCAGAGCGUUUUCACCGCCAUCGAAAUCCCCUGUGCUCUGCCUAUUCAUCCUCCACCUGCCGACAACCACUGAUUUUGUCGUUAUCUCUAUAGUUUUGCCUUUUCUAGAAUGUCUUAUAAUUGGAAUAAGACAGCAUGCAGCCUUUUCACAUGGUCUUCUUCGCUUAGUAAUAUGCGUUUAGCUCUUCUGUGUCUUUUCAUGGUUUCAUUGCUCAUUUCUUUUUAGUGCUGAAUAAUAUUCCAUUGUCUGGA